rnacentral:rRNA from 1 species
UACGUAGGGCGCAAGCGUUGUCCGGAAUUUAUUGGGCGUAAAGAGCUCGUAGGCGGUCUGUUACGUCCGCUGUGAAAACCCAGGGCUUAACCCUGGGCUUGCAGUGGAUACGGGUAGACUAGAGGCAGGUAGGGGGAGAAUGGAAUUCCCGGUGUAGCGGUGAAAUGCGCAGAUAUCGGGAGGAACACCGGUGGCGAAGGCGGUUCUCUGGGCCUGACCUGACGCUGAGGAGCGAAAGCGUGGGGAGCGAACAGG